GGACUUCUUGUGAAUUUUCUCAAACGGCCCAACCAUGCUUUUUAUAUAGAUUAGACUUGGUUUUCCCGUUUGAAUGUUUUACACUAGUAUUUUAUGGGGCCCUUUAUAGCUUGCUGUUCGGUUUGAGCCAAGGCUCCGUGUUGAAGGCCGUACCUUGGCCUAUAAUGGUUUACUUUUAUAAAUUGUUACUUGGAUGGAGAGUUGUCUCAUUGGCACUCAUACCACAUCUUCCUAUAUCUAUUGACACAUCUGUGUCAUCUCUACUAUCGUUCACUAAAAUAUCGUCAUUUGAGCUUUACGGACCAGCAAUAGGUUGUAAUUUAGGUUGGAUUGGUCGGUCCGACAUCUGUUUGAUCAGGAUUCGUUACUAUGAGAGCUCCCUCUGCCUCUACAUCAGCCCCUACAACCACGCCCACGUGUUCUAGUAUACUUUGGUAGCAUAACUGUAUUGUUUCCGAGAAAUCUACGUAUUAUUCAGAAAUAGAAGGAAUGGACCUGUAAUUAUAUGGAACACGUUGUUGACGUUAUUGCUGAGAACGUAGUAAGAUCGCGGUAUGAACGUAAUAUAAUCGUGGUAAGAACGAAUUAUAA
rnacentral:lncRNA from 1 species